CCAGACUUGCUUGUAGUUGCUCAUCCGGGCUUUUGCCCGGUGCACUCUUCUGCGAGCAGGCCAGCAUCAGUUUGGACGGUUGGAUAAAGGCCUCUGUCACGUACCUUCUCUCGGGAAGG
rnacentral:rRNA from 1 species